CCAUUUUCGAGUGGACUCGGAGGUGCUAUCUUGUCUUAAGCAAUGUUGAAACAAUAAAGCAAGGAGAUUGUUUUAAAAUUUCACUGGGGCAUGGUUUCUUAUGCAUUAGCUGAACCUCCACGAUGGAGGAGGAAGACACCGGACAGACAGUUUUGGCUCCUGUUGCAACUAAAGGCAAAUCUCUCCCAGGAGUUCUCUUUGCGUUGUUUUUAUUCGUCGCAGGUAAGUUGACACAGGUGAGUAGAAUGAACAGAGGUUUAUAAAAGAGCCGCAUAGGUUGGUUCAGAGCAAUCCUCUCCCAAUGGCAGCUUGUGGCUGAAUUGGCUGGGAGGUUUAAAUUCCCCACUUGUCUUCUCUCUGCAUUUCAGGCUUUUAGCAAAAGCAACAGGCACCCCUAGAAAAGAACUUUUUUUUAUUAUUUUUAAUUUUCUUUUAAUACAAACAUUUCAUCUUUCAUUUAAAAAAAAAAAGAACUUUGUGGUUGCUUCUAUUAGUUGCUGUGAACAGGAACUGCUACAGGAACAUGGGGUUUGUGGUACCCAUGUGGGCAGUGGUCUGAAUGUACCAUCAGAUCUCUCUUCAGCUUUCAUGGGUUAAGUCCUAAGCUGUGGCAGCAUUUCUGUGCUAAAUUUCCAGGCAGGAGAAAAAGCAUUAUAACUGUUGCCUAUAGUCCAUACAAACAUUCCUUAAAUCAUACCUGUCCAUAAGGCAGUGAAAACAGGAGUCAUUUUCUAGUGGCUGUAAUGAUGUCUCAAAGAAAUAUGAUGCCAUUUAGAUAAACAAAUUAAUUUGUUAAAGUCAAGAAUACUUACAGUUUGUUUCACAGCCUACAAAAUUGGUUGCUGGUUGUGAUACUAUUGGCAUUUUAUAUAACUUUCCAUUUCUAAGGAUUUGGGUUUUUUUUUUUUAAAUGAACUCUUUAAAUGAGUUUAGUUUUCUUCUUAGCCAGUCAUGUGUUUUAAAAGCCUACCCUGUAGAGCAUGUUCAUGGAAUUACUGAACAGGAAGGGAUAUCUAAGAUUAUAAUGCAUUUAUAUGAGGUGUGGACAAGUUGGGUAAUUUAAAACGAAUAAAGGAAAUUGUGAGCAUUUUAAUCCAACUCAAAGUACUUGGAAGGCUUUAAUCAGGCAAGGCUGCAAAACGUGCUGUAUAAUGCAUAGAUAAACUAAGAAUUAUUAAGUAAAUGAAAUAAUUGGAGGGAUCAGACCUUCAGAUAUAUAAAGUCCUGCAGUUAAAAAUCUUCACAGGACUUAUUUUAAAAAAAGAAACUGCUAACUAUGCUUAUAAUAUAUAAGUGUUGGUCCAUAACAAAUAAAAUACAAAAUCCAUAGUUGCCUAACCUUUUAUCAGAACAUACCAAUAAAUGCUUUUGUGACUGACAGCAGUGCAUACCAAAUAAAUACGAAGGUUGAUGGAAAUCAGUUUCUCAAAUUGCUUGAUUAUCCGACUUAGAUUAUCUGUACAUUUACGCUGGAGUAAAUUAAACUUGCCCUGAAUUCACUGUUUGAAAUGCACCACUGGCUACUGCUGGAACAGGUGCAUUUUAGAGGUGAAUAUAGGAAUUCUGGCUUGGCGAAGACCGAUUAAUUUGGGAGGCAAGGCAUGGAAAAUCCUUAGUUUGCCUAAAACCCUACAGACUGUGUUUUCCCAUCUGAUGCAGCCAAUGGAACCAUAGUUUUGAGUUCUCCCUGAGUUGUUCAGAAGCCAAGAAUUUGUUCUCCAAACACUUUAUGAGAUGCUGAUUGACGUUCUGUUGUUGCUACUUGUUCCGUUGUGACUUCGAACCCUUUCUCCCUGUAUAUUUGGAAGUGGGGAGGGAGGGGGGAGAGAACGGGACCUGCUGACAUCCUGCUUCUUGGAUUGCUUUGAAACUCGGCUUCCUUGGGGACCCUCCCUCAAAUGGCCAACCUUGAGGUGACGUAGCAGCACGACAUGGUUUGUAGAGAAAAGAAGAUACAGACCGUUCUGGGCUGCCUCAUGACCUCAAGGACUCAAGUCGAAGAGAAGCCAUCAUCCGUCUCAGGAAAGCCGAGACCGUCCCAAACUUAGCUUACCUGGCCAGGUAUGUUUCAGUAUGAAUACUUGGAGCGGGUUCUUGAAGCAUCCGCCUUAUAACUUUCCUUUUCCUUUCCCACCUCAAAAAUGAAAGAAAUAGGGGAAAUGAUUUCAGCAUCACCCAAACUGUGAGCGUCUGAGGUCUUCGCCUCUGAAUCCACAAUUUUGGGAAUGAGAUAGAAUUGCAAAGACAAAAUUGAGGCCGUGCUGCCUCUGAAGGCAGGGGUUUCCAACCUUAGGGACUUUAGGACCAGCUAGCUGGGGAAUAAUUCUGGGAGUUUUAAGUUCACAAGUCUUAAAAGUUGCCAAGGUUGGAUAGCUCUGCUCUAAGGGCAUUUAAAAGUAGCUAGCAUCCUUCCUCAAUGUUUUGAUUCCUAGCAGUAUUAAGCUCUGAAUAGAAUAGAAUAACAGAGUUGGAAGGGACCUUGGUGGUCUUCUAG